rnacentral:rRNA from 1 species
CCUACGGGUGGCAGCAGUCGUGAAUCAUUCACAAUGGGGGAAACCCUGAUGGUGCGACGCCGCGUGGGGGAAUGAAGGUCUUCGGAUUGUAAACCCCUGUCAUGUGGGAGCAAAUUAAAAAGAUAGUACCACAAGAGGAAGAGACGGCUAACUCUGUGCCAGCAGCCGCGGUAAUACAGAGGUCUCAAGCGUUGUUCGGAAUCACUGGGCGUAAGGCGGGCGUAGGCUGUUUCGUAAGUCGUGUGUGAAAGGCGCGGGCUCAACCCGCGGACGGCACAUGAUACUGCGAGACUAGAGUAAUGGAGGGGGAACCGGAAUUCUCGGUGUAGCAGUGAAAUGCGUAGAUAUCGAGAGGAACACUCGUGGCGAAGGCGGGUUCCUGGACAUUAACUGACGCUGAGGCACGAAGGCCAGGGGAGCGAAAGGGAUUAGAUACCCGGGUAGUC